CGCGAAUACACAAAUCUUGCGUAUCAUUGCAUUCAUAGAAGGAAUAGAAUGAGUACAAAAGGGGGUACACCACAUGACAUGAACGCAGGCAGGCGUGAACAUGGUACCCGAAGCAGGGAGACAAGGGAUGCUCAGCCCGAACAGGGGAUACAACCUAGCUAGACCUACCAAGCCUGAACCAAGAGUGGCAAUGCCGAACCAGCAAGAAUACCAACAUCGCGAAAGCCAAAUCGGGGUCACCACGAGCGAGUAAGAUAGCGCCUUCAAGAAGGAAGAACGACGUCGAGACGCCAUCGCCAUCCGGUCCGGAGGAACCAGACCUAGGGUUUCACCUGAGCUUGAGGACGGGGCUCGGCCGAGGGCCUUGACAGCGCCUCCAAGUAGAAAAACGACAUCCGCAAACGCCGCCGCUGCUAGCACCGGCAAGCCGGGCAGGGAUUUCGCCCCGGCCUGAGGCAGAGCAAUCCCAUAGCCACCGCAUCUGGAGUCGAAGAUGAGGAAGCCAGCGCUAGUCGGAGCCACCAUAUCAAAGGGGGUUGGCGGGGCUGCACUUGCCGUCGAAGGGUGGCACCGCCUCCGAACCCACGAGCAUUGGAUUUGGCAAAAGGGGAGCUUCGAGAAAUACAGGGCAGGCGGUGGAGCGAACCACAGGGGGUGGGCUGACGGCGCUCAGCAAUGCCGACAGACUAGAACUGGAGGGACGUAGAUCCUAGUUGUCGUGGCCAAACCCGUCGAGACGUCAGUAAGCCAAGCGAGCUGGAAGAGACGCAGCUGCUUGGUCACCGAGACCGGAGCCGCCCGGCAGAGGACACCGACGUCCACGGGCACUGGGGAGAUGCGGGCCCGAGGUCGCCGGGCCGGAGCAGCGCCAGCAAGUACCCGCCUUGAGGAGCACCAUGACUGCACAAACAUUGUAGCCUCAUCGCCUCCACGCGUUAGCCAUCACCGUGGCUCGGGAGGGGAGGAAGGGCCGCCGGAGACGAGGGGGGCCUGCCUGCGCGGAGGCAGGCCGCGAACACGCCCGCGUCCGGCUGCAGUUCUCGCGCCCAGCCCGCGGCCAACACCAGCACCAGAAGCGCUGGGCCGCACCGCAAAAGGGGGGAUGGGCAGACCGCAGGGCAGCGCGCCGAGGCCGUGGCCAGGCCCGCCGGGCCAGACGCCGGACCGGCAGGAACAAGCAGCAGCUAGGAGGGGGAGGCGCCCGCGAUGCGCCAUAGGUACGGGGACGCGGGGCAGGGGGAAGCGCAUGGGGACGGGGCCGCCAUGCCGCCACCGUCCCAGGGCUCGGCGCGGCCUCGCCGGCUGGCCCUCUGGCGGCGGCGCAGCGGAGGUAGGUGGAGGGGGCGGGGCUUCCCGGCCGCGGCUGGUGGAUCUGGGCGGAGGGCGGGGGGAUGCGCGAGGCACGGGGGAGGGGGCGGGAUCCGCCCCGCCGCCGCCAUCCCGGGGCACGGCUUGGCUUCGCCGGCCGGCCCUCCGGCGGCGGCGCGGCGAGAGAGGGCGGAGGGAGGAGCUUCUUGGCGGCGGCUGGGGUUUCCCCCGUGUCGCCACAGGAGGGCGACGCGGGGGUGGGUACUCUUUUUUUUCCUAGCUUCGCUCCUAGUUGAUUGAACCAGCCAUGAUUUGCAGUGUAACUCUGUUCGUGUUGAGUCUGUAUUUUACUUAUGUAUCUGUAGUGUAAUUAUGUGCAGAGUUUCAGUGUAAUAUAGGUCAGAGUUACUGUGUAAUUUGCCCCUGAGUUGCAGUGUAAUUCCCCCCAAAGUUACUGUGUAAUUCUCAUGCUUAUUAUAUGUAAUUUACCCUAAAGUUUUACACUGUGUAAUUACCCCCAGAGUUACUGUGUAAUUAUCCCAGAGUUUCAGUGUAAUAUACC
rnacentral:rRNA from 1 species